AUGCCAUAAUGUGGGCUCCUCCUCAAUAUCUCAUUGAAUCUCUCCCAAGCAUCACACACUGAUUCAUCCUCCAACUGCUGAAAAGAAAUAAUCUCAUUCUGAAACU